GACAGAGGCCCCGAGCGUUAGGCGGAAUCACUGGGCUUAAAGCGCGUGUAGGCGGGAAACUAAGUACCUUGUGAAAUCCCACAGCUCAACUGUGGAACUGCUGGGUAUACUGGUUUUCUUGAGGCAUCUAGGGGCGAGCGGAACAAACGGUGGAGCGGUGAAAUGCGCAGAUAUCAGGAGGAACACCGGUGGCGAAGGCGGGUCUCUGGGCCGUAACUGACGCUGAGGAGCGAAAGCAUGGGGAGCGAACAGG
rnacentral:rRNA from 1 species